rnacentral:lncRNA from 1 species
AAUAUAGUAAAUUGCAAAUAUAUCCCUAUAAAGUUUAACUUUCAUAUAAUAUUCCUGUAAAAGUUCUAAUAUUUUUAAAUAUGUCCUUCUGGUUUGUUACUAUUAGAGAACCGUUAGAAAACUAUUUGUUUUUAAUUUUGUUAUCACAAAUAUGUCCCUCUAAAAGUCACAACAGUAUAAUAUAAGAAGGGUUAAAAUAUCAAAAACUAAUCAAAAUUAAGUAUUUAACUUAUGGCUAAUUAAUUUUUCUAAAAGAUUCUAAUAGCAGGGACAUAUUCGAAAAUAUUAGAACUUUGUAGGAAUAAUAUAUAAAAGUCAAAUAAUAUAGAAAUAUAUUUAUAAUUUACUAUAUUUGCAGGGACCUGUAUGCAAUU